UCUUAUCCUCCGCCGAGACGUUGAGGAUGCCGUUAGCGUCGAUGUCGAAACAGACGGUGAUCUGAGGGACACCACGCGGCGCAGGAGGGAUGCCGCUGAGCUCGAACUUCCCUAAAAGAUUGUUGUCUUUUGUCCUCGCUCUCUCUCCUUCGUAGACUUGGAUCAACACACCAGGCUGGUUGUCCGAGUAAGUAGAGAAGAUCUGCUCCUUCUUUGUCGGAAUCGUCGUGUUCCUCGGGAUCAAAACCGUCAUAACCCCACCGGCAGUCUCCAAGCCCAACGACAAAGGAGUGACGUCAAGAAGCAGUAAAUCUUGAACCUUCUCGUUCCCUUCACCGGUCAAGAUCGCAGCCUGGACCGCCGCGCCGUAAGCGACGGCCUCGUCGGGGUUAAUACUCUUACAAAGCUCCUUCCCGUUGAAAAAGUCUUGGAGAAGCUGCUGCACUUUAGGGAUCCUGGUGGACCCGCCGACGAGCACCACGUCGUGGACGUUGCUCUUGUCCAUCUUAGCGUCUCUCAGACACUUCUCCACCGGCUCCAUACAUUUUCUGAACAGAUCCAUGUUGAGCUCCUCGAACCUCGCGCGCGUAAUGGUCGUGUAGAAGUCGAUCCCUUCGUAGAGAGAGUCAAUCUCUAUGGUCGUCUGCGCGGUGGAAGAGAGAGUCCUCUUCGCUCUCUCGCAGGCUGUUCUCAGCCUGCGGAGAGCUCUCGGGUUACCCGUGAUGUCCUUCUUGUGCUUCCUCUUAAACUCUUGGACGAAGUGAUUAACCAUUCUGUUGUCGAAGUCCUCACCUCCGAGGUGAGUGUCACCAGCCGUCGCCUUCACUUCGAAGAUCCCUUCCUCAAUCGUGAGAAGAGAGACAUCGAAAGUCCCACCUCCCAAGUCGAAUAUAAGCACGUUCUUCUCACCAACGCUCGACGCCUUCUUGUCGAGACCGUAGGCAAUAGCAGCAGCUGUAGGUUCGUUGAUGAUACGCAUCACGUUGAGGCCGGAGAUGACUCCAGCGUCCUUUGUGGCUUGACGCUGAGAGUCGUUGAAGUAGGCGGGGACCGUGACGACGGCGUUUUUGAUGGAUGUGCCGAGGUAUGCUUCUGCUAUCUCGCGCAUUUUGGUGAGGACCAUGGAGGAGAUUUCUUCUGCGGAGAACUGUUUCUCUUCUCCCUUGUAGUUGACGCUGAUCAUUGGCUUCUCGGCUGGACCGGAGAUGACCUUGAAUGGCCAGUGUCUCAUGUCUGCUUGCACAGAGGGGUCGCUGAAUCUUCUGCCAAUAAGACGCUUAGCAUCUGCACGCAACAAUUAGUUCAGGUCAAUAUAAAUGUAAAUAAUGUUCGGAAAAAAUCACUAAACUGUAAUUAAAUUUUUUAAGACAGAAUUAAGAAAUUUCUAGCUAAUUAAGAAAUCGCUAAGACAUAAUUAAAACGUGCUGGACUUAUGUAAACGAUAACUAAGAAACUCGCAAAGUUAAACUUUAAAAAAAUAACAUAGAACAAAUUAGUAAUUUAAAAAUCACUCGGCAAUUAGAAAAACGGGAAUUAAAAAAAUUGUUAGAUGAUGAUUCACAGUUAACCAAUCUCUAGACAGUAACCAAGGUUUUGUAGAAUAUUAUCCCCACGGAUUUGCCGCGUUAAUACGGUUAGACCGGUUAAUAAAACACCUAUUAUUCGAAAACUAGAGCAGAGUUCAUGGGCAGUUAACUUACCAAAGACGGUGUUGGUAGGGUUCAUAGCGACUUGAUUCUUCGCAGCAUCUCCUAUGAGACG
rnacentral:lncRNA from 1 species